UAAAACUCAAAGGAAUUGACGGGGGCCCGCACAAGCGGCGGAGCAUGCGGAUUAAUUCGAUGCAACGCGAAGAACCUUACCAAGGCUUGACAUAGCCGAGAACGCUGUAGAGAUACAGAACUCUUUGGACACUCGGUUACAGGUGGUGCAUGGUUGUCGUCAGCUCGUGUCGUGAGAUGUUCGGUUAAGUCCGGCAACGAGCGCAACCCUCGUCCUAUGUUGCCAGCACGUUAUGGUGGGAACUCAUGGGAUACUGCCGUGGUCAACACGGAGGAAGGUGGGGAUGACGUCAAGUCAUCAUGCCCCUUAUGUCUUGGGCUUCACGCAUGCUACAAUGGCCGAUACAAAGGGCUGCGAUACCGCGAGGUGGAGCGAAUCCCAAAAAGUCGGUCUCAGUUCGGAUUGGGGUCUGCAACUCGACCCCAUGAAGUCGGAGUCGCUAGUAAUCGCAGAUCAGCAACGCUGCGGUGAAUACGUUCCCGGGCCUUGUACACACCGCCCGUCAAGUCAUGAAAGUCGGUAACACCCGAAGCCGGUGGCCUAACCCUUGUGGAGGGAGCCGUCGAAGGUGGGACUGGUGAUUAGGACU
rnacentral:rRNA from 1 species